rnacentral:rRNA from 1 species
GACGAACGCUGGCGGCGUGCUUAACACAUGCAAGUCGAACGGUGAAGCGCCUUCCUUUUUGGUGGGUGUGGAUGAGUGGCGAACGGGUGAGUAACACGUGAGUAACCUGCCCCCUUCUUCUGGAUAACCGCAUGAAAGUGUGGCUAAUACGGGAUAUUCUGGGUCUGUCGCAUGAUGGGUCUGGGAAAGAUAUUGUUUCGGUGGGGGAUGGGCUCGCGGCCUAUCAGCUUGUUGGUGGGGUGAUGGCCUACCAAGGCGGUGACGGGUAGCCGGCCUGAGAGGGUGGACGGUCACACUGGGACUGAGACACGGCCCAGACUCCUACGGGAGGCAGCAGGGGGGAAUAUGGCACAAUGGGCGCAAGCCUGAUGCAGCGACGCCGCGUGAGGGAUGGAGGCCUUCGGGUUGUGAACCUCUUUCGCCAGUGAAGCAGGCCUGCCUCGUUUGUGGGUGGGUUGACGGUAGCUGGAUAAGAAGCGCCGGCUAACUACGUG